ensembl:lncRNA novel transcript, antisense to CCDC3
GACCACACACACCAAGUAAUAUCCUCUCCAUUUACAAUAGGGUGCCUUCUGAAUAAAUGACUCUGUAACUUUACUUCAUUCUUGGUUACAGCCAAGUAACCAAUGGGAAGCCUCUAAAGUGUUGAAACUCCAACAAGUUCUGUAACCGGGGGUCUUGAGCCCCUAUACUUGGGCCACUCCCACUCAGUGGAAUGUACUUUCGUUCUCAAUAAAUCCUUGUGCAUUUUGUCCAAUUCUUUGUUAGAGAUGCCGAGUACCUGGACACCUUCUGCCGGUUACAACUUCAACCUCCGCCUCCUGGGUUCAAGCGAUUCUUCUGCCUCCGCCUUUUGAGUAGCUGGGAUUACAGGGCGUUGGAGAAUUCAAUCCCAUCUGUCAUGUGGAAAUUUACAUCAAUCUAACAUUACUCAAGCUGGAAAGGAUCUUAUCGAGUCUUCUACUUCAACCCAUUCAUUUCAAGAUGUGGAAACUAAGGCUCAAAGAGAUAAAGUGACUUGUCCAAGAUCCCAGCUCCAGGUGGCGGCCCUUCUUACGCGCCUGCCGCAAGGACCUCUUGACCUUCUUCACUCGCUCCCGGAGCUGCCGGUUGCGCUUCUCCAGGGUGGCCACUUUCUGCUGCAGUUUCUUGACGUGGUCCUCCUCCUCAAACAAGGCCUUCUGCACCGAGGAGCACAUGAGCUGGAGGCAGAGACAGCGUGCAAGGAGAGGAGGGCUGCACUUAGCCUCCAGAGUUGUCUCUUCAACAAGACAGGUCUGAUCAUCUCAGUAACCUUCUUCUGGGACUCCUGUUAGACGUGUAUAUUUAAUACCAUUGGCUAAGUCGUAACAAUCAUCCAAGUCAACCGACCUCCCAGCCUGCCCACAUUGCCUCCCUGUAGGAAGUGAUUUUGCACACAGAAGCCCCUGGUGGGGUAGGGUGGAGUGUGAAGUAUCUGUUCUUGGACCACAGUUCCAUCCCUGGAGCAGCAAUUGUGAAGCAUCGUUCUCCUGUUCCAGCAUCUCUCCAAAGACGCUCAGGUCUCCGUCACAGGAUCACCAUUGAAAAAGGUGUCUGUCCCUCUGACACAUACCCAGGGGAGGAAAGAGCAAGCUUUGGAGGCACCUGGUUGACUUCACCUGGAGAUCUUGUUGGGUCUGUAGUUUAUGCCUGGAAGUGCUGCAGCCUUUUUGCAUCCAUGAAGGAAUCUAGCCUGAGAACAACAGUACCACGAAGAGAGAAUGCCGAGCCAAAAGAAUCACCAAGAGGGGACCCAGAUCCCUGAUUAACCCGUGCCUGGAGCUACCACUACCUUUGCUUUCUUGCCUCAUGUGAUAAUACAUUUCCUCACUGUUUGAAAUUCAUUGAGUCCAGUUUUCUCUUACUUGUAGCCAAAGGCAUCCUUAACAAUGUAAUUGACUCCACUUUGCAGAUGAACAAAGAGACAAAGAGGGCAAGUGACACCUACAGUCACACCACUGGUAAAUGUAUUAAGAACAUGCAGGCAUUAGGGAGUAAAGUUUAUACAUAAUUUAAAGUAGUAUGUAGGAGUUUAGGACAGGCCACCCCAAAAUAUGCUGCUUUGGCAUAAAGACUACUUUGAGCUGGAGGAACUUGAAAAACAGUACAUGCAGACAGUGGCUUUCUCUGAAUUCCCUUUAUCUGCCUAAAGACAAAACCUCCAAAAGGAGCUCAGUUGUCGUCAGUACCCCCACCCCUGGGAGUUUCAUCAACCAGGGAAAAUUAACUCUUAUCACAGGAGAGGAGAAUGGAGGUGACAUCACACCCAAGGUUUGUCACAAGCUAUCACUUAUUCUGAGGGUCUAUUCAUCUUUCCCCAAAAUCAUUUUCUCUCUCCUAAAUUGCCUACAUCCCCCCUCCCUGCUUUCCCCAAAAAGAGGGUAUAUAACCUUCUAAAUCUCACUGUUUUAAGGGGUAUGACUUUUUUUCCUAUGAUGUCCCUGUGCAC